UUGAAAAAAAAAAAAAUUGUUAUUCUCAGCCAGUUUGAACACGUGAUGUGAGAGAGACCAGUGUUACAGCUCUACUACUACUACUACUACUACUACUGCUACUACUACUGCUACUACUACUACUACUACUACUGGUGCUGCUACAAUGGCUGAAAACGUACCCUCGUCAUGCCCAGUUUGCUCCGAGCCCUACAACGACCACCUGCGCCUUCCUCUCACCACCUCCUGCGGCCACACCACCUGUAACACCUGUCUAAGAAGCCUCACCCUGACGACCCACCCUGGACGCGGCACCAGGCAGGGAGGGCACCGUGCCGUCUGGGAGGAAGGUGGAGUGCCAGCAGUGCCAGAAGACGGUUUCCACGGAUCAGCUGGUUAUUAAUAGAGCCGUGUUGGCCAAGGUACCACUAUCCCUGGAGGACCUGAUCAUUCCUGAGGACACGGCCACGAAGAACGACCCUGCAACGACCAAAUACGACCCUGAAACAAGCAGGUACGACCCUGAAACGACCUUUGCCCCUACAGACGACCACGUGCAGACAACCACCACUACAGCACGGGAAACACCACACCACCACCACCACCACCACCACACAGAGGCACAGAUAGGCUGGACACGCCCUGAAAUGGAUCCACACCACAACCCCUACCACCCCCAACAGCCCCCACACCACGACCCCAACCAGCCAGGGGUCAUAGGAUGGGCCACGACCCCCCAGUACCCACACGGCUACCCCAGUCACCCACAGCACCCCACCACCACCACAACCAAUGCCUGUACCGCCUCAUGGCUACCCACACCACACGCAACACCCACAACACCAAGGGACACCACUCCCACGCCCCAGUAGUAGCAGGAGCAGCAGUAGCAGGCGCAGCAGCAGGAGUAGCAGGGAUGUCACUCCACCAACACAAGAAGAAGAAGAAGAAGAAGGAGAAGAAGCACCAUAAGAAGGAGAGGAAGCACAGGUCGUCCUCGAGGUCUUCCGGGUCCUCAAGGUCAUCCAGGUCUUCGUCGAGGUCCUCAAGGUCGUCACACUCUAGUUGAUUGGUGUGUUGGCUUGAGGUGAGUUGUACACGCUCAAGAAGUCUUCCAAGGGUCUCACUAUUUAGUCCCAGUGGCCAACUCCGUCUGUCUUAACUUCCGGCAAGGUGUUGUGGAAGUUAUUGGGGUUUUCAAAGGGUGUUUUUUUUAUUGUGAUUCUAUAGUUUAACAAUUGUAAUUUUCAAAGGUGUUUUUUCUUCUUUUUUUCUUUCUUUCUUUCUUUCUUUCUUUCUUUUGUGUGUGUGUGUGAUUCUAGUGAAAGUUUAACAGGUUCUGAUGAAAGUUAUUAGAGUUUUCAAGUGUUUUUUUUUUUUGUGUGUGUGUGUGUUUGUUAUUCCAGUGAUAGUUCAACAGAUUCUAAUGGAAAUCAAUGUUUUUUUGAGGGGUUUUCAAGGGUGUUUUUUUUUUUGUGAUUCUAAUGAUAAUUUAACAUGGAAUCUUUAUCUUCACUACGUAGUGGAAGCUAUCUGGGUUUUCAAGGACAUUUCCAUGGUUCCUGUGAUAGCUUAACAAGACCCUCCUCUCUUCACAACAUUCAACACACUCCAGUGGAUGUUUACCGGGGUUUUCAAGGGUGUUUGCACGACUCCAGCUACAGUUCCACAGGUUUCCCUUAUCUUGCCUACUUUAAACAAACUGGACUGAAAGUUAUCGAGAUCUUCAAGUAUUUUUCAUGAUUCUUGUAACAGAUUGUCAAGCUUUCCCAUCUAGACUUGUUUUGACAGAUUGUAGUGGAGGUAAUUUGGGUUUUCAAGGGUGUUUUCAUGACACUAGUGAGGGCUUAACAUGGCUGCCCUACCUUCAGUAAUAACACAACCCACGGUAACCUGGUGAAUGAUACGUGUAGCCUUUGAAAACAGUCCUGGCGAGGGAGCAAAGGACGACCCAGAAUUGCCACCUUUACAGAGGCUGUCACCUAAUGAGGAGGCUUACACUGACAAAAUAAAUAAAAUAAAAAUAAAUAAAUAAACAAAUAAAUAAAUAAAAAGAGAAUAUUAACAGAUGCUACAUAACUUUUGGACUUGAUUGUACAUGUUAUUUAGAAUUGAUUAUUGAUGUUAUUGUUAUUAUUAUUAUCAUUAUUCUUGGUGGUGGUGGUGGUGGUUAGUUUAUUACUGAUGAUGUUUGUUGUUGUUGUUGUUGUUGUUGCUGAUGUUGCUGUUAUUAUUAUUAUUACUAUUGACGUUACUGUUAUCUUGUGCAAAUUAAUCUUUCCCUCUUUCUCUUUCUCCCUCACGGUUUUCCAGUUUGUUAAUGAGGAAAAAAAAGACAAUCAUAAAUCAAUAUAUACUGUCAAAUCAUGUAUCUUUCCUUUCUUUCUUUUUUCUUGAGGUCUGUAAGUUUGAGAAAGCGAAAAAAUGUACUCAUCAUUAUACAUUAGUUUGUGCUGUACUAGUGAAAGGAGCGAGUGAGUGAGUGAGUGAGUGAGCGAGUGAGUGAGUGAGUGAGUGAGUGAGUGAGUGAGUGAGUGAGUGAGUGUGUGAGUGAGUGAGUGAGUGAGAGUGAAAAUAAUAUGGGUUUAAAGAUUUUCCUGCUUAUUUUAACAUCUUUCUUCUUCUUCCUCCUCCUUCUCCUCCUCCUCCUCCUCCUCUUCCUAAAAGUUCUGAGGUAACAAUUCUAAUCCUUCAAUAUCCGCCAUCUUGGGUUGCAGGUAUAAUCUCUCUCUCUCUCUCUUCUCU